rnacentral:rRNA from 1 species
UACGGAGGGGGCAAGCGUUAUUCGGAAUCAUUGGGCGUAAAGGGCGCGUAGGCGGCCUGGCAAGUCAAAGGUGAAAUCCCUCGGCCCAACCGAGGAACUGCCUUUGAAACUGCAAGGCUUGAGGCCGGGAGAGGGUAGCGGAAUUCCCAGUGUAGCGGUGAAAUGCGUAGAUAUUGGGAGGAACACCAGUGGCGAAGGCGGCUACCUGGACCGGUUCUGACGCUGAGGCGCGAAAGCGUGGGGAGCAAACAGG